UGGCCAUGGGGAUUCCUGGCAGGGUGAUUUUUGGCAUUAUGGUAUGAAUCACAUUGCCAGGGAUUUCCAAUGGCUG
rnacentral:pre_miRNA from 1 species